GGGAAAUGUGGACUAAAAAAGACGGCUGCGAGGCCCAAGUUGCCAAUUUUGGAGCUCCGCUGCAGGCAGACGGCUCCUAGGGGAGCGUGUUUGGCAAAGGUGGGGGUUGCCGCCUCUCUCCGCGCCUUUUUUGGGCAGCCCUUUGAACAAUACGCCCAUGUUUCGCUGGAUAGCUUCCAUUUUCAGUGGGGGCGGUCUGCGCGAGUUUAGGCCCUUCCCUCCACAUUCUUUCGCAUCUGUUAUGUCCCCACCCCCAAAUCCUCUCAGUCUUUGGGUCCUGGGAGUUAAGAGAUAGGAUGCCCUACCCCGGGAUGAGAACAGCACACCUUUCAACCCAGGACCUUCAACAAGAAAGGAGGGAAGUUGAGUUUCAGCUUACCUGUUUUUAAAGUACGGUUACCUGAGUAGAGCAUGGAUUUGGGAGGAUAAUUGCAACACUGGGUAACCGGAUGCUGGAAACAUUUAGUUUUACCUGCCUCUGAACCCUAUGACAACGGGAACCUCGGCCCUUCCAGGCACAUUUUAUUAAAUAACAUUCAGAUCGUUCGGUGCUAAGUGUGGCAUGAAGGACUUUGGGUCAGGGGAAGUAAGGCGACCCCAGUUUGAAUCCCACCCCCCAGAAGUGCGACCUUUGUUUCAUCUUAACUCAUGUAAAUUAGCCUUACACAUUGACUUGUAUGUUUUUAUUUCAUAGGAUGCAGUGAAAUGCCC
rnacentral:lncRNA from 1 species